rnacentral:rRNA from 1 species
GCUUUCCGSGNUGGRCCCGUGUWUAAGSYYUGGAACAGRGSGUCAUAGRGGGURRGAAUCCCHUCUUUGACACGGRYUUACCAGUGCUUUKUGAUGSGCUCUCAKAAGAGUNGAGUUGUUUGGGAAUGCAGCUCAAAAUGGGUGGUGAAUUCCAUCUAAAGCUAAAUAUUGGCGAGAGACCGAUAGCGAACAAGUACCGUGAGGGAAAGAUGAAAAAGCACUUUGGAAAGAGAGUUAAACAGUACGUGAAAUUGCUGAAAGGGAAACGCUUGAAGUCAGUCGCGUUGUCCGGAACUCAGCCUUGCUUUCGCUUGGUGCACUUUCCGGAUGACGGGUCAGCAUCGAUUUUGACCGUCGGAAAAGGGCUGGAGUAAUGUGGCACCUCCGGGUGUGUUAUAGACUCCGGUCGCAUACGGCGGUUGGGAUCGAGGAACGCAGCGCGCCGCAAGGCAGGGGUUCGCCCACUUUCGCGCUUAGGAUGCUGGCAUAAUGGCUUUAAACGACCCGUCUUGAAACACGGACCAAGGAGUCUAACAUACCUGCGAGUGUUUGGGUGGUAAACCCGAGCGCGUAAUGAAAGUGAAAGUUGAGAUCCCUGUCGUGGGGAGCAUCGACGCCCGGACCUGACGUUCUCUGACGGAUCCGCGGUAGAGCAUGUAUGUUGGGACCCGAAAGAUGGUGAACUAUGCCUGAAUAGGGUGAAGCCAGAGGAAACUCUGGUGGAGGCUCGUAGCGAUUCUGACGUGCAAAUCGAUCGUCAAA